rnacentral:rRNA from 1 species
GAGGCAGCAGUGGGGAAUAUUGCACAAUGGAGGAAACUCUGAUGCAGCAACGCCGCGUGGAGGACGAAGGUUUUCGGAUUGUAAACUCCUGUCUUUUGGGACGAUAAUGACGGUACCAAAAGAGGAAGCCACGGCUAACUACGUGCCAGCAGCCGCGGUAAUACGUAGGUGGCGAGCGUUGUUCGGAAUUAUUGGGCGUAAAGGGCGCGUAGGCGGUCCUGUAAGCCCGGCGUGAAAACCUGGAGCUCAACUCCGGGCCUGCGCUGGGAACUGCGGGACUAGAGUCAUGGAAGGGAAGUUGGAAUUCCAGGUGUAGGGGUGAAAUCUGUAGAUAUCUGGAAGAACACCGGUGGCGAAGGCGAACUUCUGGCCAAUGACUGACGCUGAGGCGCGAAAGUGCGGGGAGCAAA